CAGUGCUGACAUCGUAGUUUUACCUGCACACCUCUAUGAGGCCCCGUUCCAGAAUGGCGCGCUGCGUCAAAGCCGAUGAAUACUCCCGUAUAAGUGAAGAAGCAGAAAUGUAAACGCAUGGCUUCCUGCGCAGUCACUAGAAAUUGGACAUGUGCUCUCCCCAGAACAGGAACGCAAUAUGAUCAGAAGUCUGACGGGCGCAUGUCUGGAUAUCGGAGAGGCGGUAAGAAAUGAUACAGGUGGAAUGAGCAUCUCAGAAAACCUCACAGUAAUGGAGCUCUGUACCUGCACGUAAUAUGUAUGAUCACCUUUCCUGUCCGCAUCUGAUGCCCAUUAGAUAGGACUAUUAGCAAGAGCAUGUCAUUAAACGAAAAGCCUUUAUCACAA